rnacentral:pre_miRNA from 1 species
AUACAAACCUUUUGGAGAUCUUGUUAAAAUACAAAUUCUGAUUUAGUAAGUUUGGGAUGGGGACUAAGAUUCUAUAUUUUUAACAAGCUCCCAAGGGAUUUUUGC